rnacentral:rRNA from 1 species
CCUACGGGUGGCAGCAGUGAGGAAUAUUGGUCAAUGGACGAGAGUCUGAACCAGCCAAGUAGCGUGAAGGAUGACUGCCCUAUGGGUUGUAAACUUCUUUUAUAUGGGAAUAAAACGUUCCACGUGUGGGAUUUUGUAUGUACCAUAUGAAUAAGGAUUGGCUAACUCCGUGCCAGCAGCCGCGGUAAUACGGAGGAUCCGAGCGUUAUCCGGAUUUAUUGGGUUUAAAGGGAGCGUAGGUGGAUUGUUAAGUCAGUUGUGAAAGUUUGCGGCUCAACCGUAAAAUUGCAGUUGAAACUGGCAGUCUUGAGUACAGUAGAGGUGGGCGGAAUUCGUGGUGUAGCGGUGAAAUGCUUAGAUAUCACGAAGAACUCCGAUUGCGAAGGCAGUUCACUGGACUGCAACUGACACUGAGGCUCGAAAGUGUGGGUAUCAAACAGGAUUAGAUACCCUUGUAGUC